ACCCAAGCCGCCAUCCGCCGCCCGAGCAGGCUCCCCGAGCGGCCAACGCACCGCCGCCCGUAGGUGGCCUCCACGCUGCGCCCCUCAUGCUCGCCGCCCGGCAGCCCGCGCACUGCCACUGGUUGACGAGCCGUGCCCUCGCCGGCUCGCCGCCCUCGGCCUACCGCGCGGCCGCCCGCCGCUCGCGGCCUUGCCCCUCGCCCAGCGCGGCAGCCGGCGGCCCUCCGCGCCUCACGUCCCUCUUUUUCGGGUGGAUUUCGGGUAGUACCAAUGCCGGUAGCUAUGACCGGCGGCUCAAGCGGCGGCGGAGGGGGUCGAGUCCUUGAUUGCCGCAGUUUCUGGAAGGCCGGCGCGUACGAGGCCCCCGCCGCCCCCUCCCACGAGUUCCAAGAUGCCCUAGAGACAGGGGACUUCGACCGCGCCCGCGUGCACCCUAAGUUCCUCCACACCAACGCGACUUCCCACAAGUGGGCUUUCGGAGCUAUAGCUGAACUUCUUGACAAUGCAGUGGAUGAGAUAAACAAUGGUGCAACGUUCAUAAAAGUGGAUAAAAGCAUCAAUUCGAAAGACAAUAGCCCAAUGCUAGUUUUCCAAGAUAAUGGAGGAGGUAUGGAUCCUGAAGGUGUUCGUCGAUGCAUGAGUUUAGGAUUCUCAACCAAGAAAUCUAAGAACACUAUUGGCCAGUAUGGAAAUGGCUUUAAGACAAGCACAAUGAGACUUGGUGCAGAUGCGAUUGUUUUUACUCAUGCAAUCCGUGGAAGUCUGUUCUCCUGCAGUAAUGUUACAUUGAGUAUAGGUUUGCUCUCUUACACUUUUUUGAGGAGAACAAUGAAGGAUGACAUAGUUGUCCCAAUGCUCGAUUUUAAACUCCAAGAUGGGGACAUUGUACCUUUGGUGUAUGGUUCACAGGGUGAUUGGGAUAGUAGCUUGAAGAUAAUACUUGAUUGGUCUCCUUUUUCUUCAAAGGAAGAACUUCUGCAGCAGUUUCAGGAUGUUGGUAGCCAUGGAACUAAAGUGUUAGUGUAUAAUUUGUGGAUGAAUGAUGAUGGCCUUUUGGAACUUGACUUCGAGGAUGACGAUGAGGACAUAUUGCUUAGAGAUCAAGGUAGUGCAAGUGGGGGAGCCUCAAAGGGCCAGAAAGAAAUUGUUCAGCAACAUAUAUCCCACAGACUCAGAUUUUCAUUGCGAGCUUAUACCUCCAUCCUUUACCUCAAGAAGUUUGAUAAUUUCCGAAUUAUAUUAAGAGGAAAACCUGUUGAACAGAUAAGGAUCACUGAUGAAUUGAAGUUUAAGAAAGUUGUCACUUACAAACCUCAUGCUGCACAUGAUUCCCAAGUGGUCUCAGUGAAAGUUGAUGUUGGCUUUGCAAAGGAAGCCCCUAUUCUGGGCAUUUUUGGGAUGAAUGUCUACAACAAAAACCGUCUUAUAAUGCCCUUCUGGAAGGUCCUUCAGGAGGGAUCUAGUAGAGGGAGAAGUGUAGUUGGUGUACUUGAGGCAAAUUUUAUUGAGCCAGCACACGACAAACAAGAUUUUGAGAGGACUCCACUAUUUAAUCGGCUAGAAACAAAACUUAGACAAAUUAUUGUUGAUUUCUGGAAAGAAAAGUGUCAUCUGAUUGGUUAUCAGCCAAUGGAUCCACAUUUAAGAUCCCAGUAUAAGGCCACCCUCAAAGAUUCAGGUGGUCCAGCUCAGGUUCACCAUAAAGCUUCCAGUGCCCGGAGGACUAGAGGGCUGUCGUCAAAUUUGCUACCAGAGACAUAUGACGACAUAGCAGCUGUUGGGUUGGCAAAUAAUGGUUCUCAUUUGCAGUCAUCUGGACAAGCAGAAGAAAACAAUAUGGAGUCAGAAGGCUUGGAUGAGGAUCUGGUAGAGUUUGGCUCUGGUGUUCUCGAUCCCAAUUUUAUUGAGAACUUGAGUGAAGAAAACAUUGCGCUGUUUUCAAGGCGUGAAGAGCUUCGACAACGAGAUACACAGUUGAAGCGGAAGAUUGGGGACCUGGAGCAUGAACUGGAGGAAACAAAAAGGAAGUGUGGUCAGCUUGCUGCGGAGCUGAAGGUGCGGAAGAAUCAGCUGAAUCUUCCUUCCAUGUGAAGUUCUCAAAGAAGAUGGGCGUCAUCACCGACCUCGACGAAGGCAACAUCUCCACAUCUAUCGACGAACUCAGCGAUGAGGAGCGCCAAGAGUACUUGGUGGCCAGGGAGCACUUCAAAGCACAAUUCUUGAAGGGAUUCAAAAAAAUCAGCAAGGCCAGGUCACGAGGGUUCAAGACUUCGUGAUGCCCUCCUUCACGCUCAAGAAUAAGCAAGUCGAGGUAAUAAGCAAUGGCAUAUUUAGGACUGAGGACACAUGACAAGAACCAAUUCUAACAACGAACUGGAAGGAGUUGAGAAUUAAGUGCUGAUGAAACUAUUAUUUUGGUUAGUACAGAAGUAGGCUGACUAGUUGAGCUGAAAAAAGGUGUGAGAUGUAAAUUAAUCAAGUGUAACAGAAUGGUUAUGUAAAUUUUGACGACUGAUUCCUACUGUUAACUUCCAUUGCACGAUGUUAGUAAGGCCUAUGUUCCAACCUUUUGAACAUCAGGUCCAACUAAAAUCAGCUGAUGAGCAAUUCAGAGUUACUUGAUAGAAGGAAUUCUCAGCCAUA